AUGAACGCUGGCGGCGUGCCUCAUACAUGCCCGUCGAGCGAACAGACGAGGAGCUUGCUCCUCUGACGUUAGCGGCGGACGGGUGAGUAACACGUGGAUAACCUACCUAUAAGACUGGGAUAACUUCGGGAAACCGGAGCUAAUACCGGAUAAUAUAUUGAACCGCAUGGUUCAAUAGUGAAAGACGGUUUUGCUGUCACUUAUAGAUGGAUCCGCGCCGCAUUAGCUAGUUGGUAAGGUAACGGCUUACCAAGGCAACGAUGCGUAGCCGACCUGAGAGGGUGAUCGGCCACACUGGAACUGAGACACGGUCCAGACUCCUACGGGAGGCAGCAGUAGGGAAUCUUCCGCAAUGGGCGAAAGCCUGACGGAGCAACGCCGCGUGAGUGAUGAAGGUCUUCGGAUCGUAAAACUCUGUUAUUAGGGAAGAACAAAUGUGUAAGUAACUAUGCACGUCUUGACGGUACCUAAUCAGAAAGCCACGGCUAACUACGUG
rnacentral:rRNA from 1 species